GGUUUCCUUUAAGUCAUCUUAAUUAAAUUUAUAUCUCAUGACACACUAUCUGUAUGUAAUAUGGCUUUUAAUUUUUUGCGGCUCCAGACAGAUUUGUUUUUGUAUUUUUGGUCCAAUAUGGCUCUUUCAACAUUUUGGGUUGCCGACCACUGGUUUAUCUGCUCUACCUUGCAUUGUUGGCACCCUAAAUCAAACCUUAUUGUCACUUCCAUGAAAUUCCUUCAGAAGCCCCUCCCCCUUGCCCCCCCUCUCCUCCUCCCCCUCCUCCUUGUCAGAGUUCGGUGGCAUGAAUCAGCCCCUCAUACCCACGCAGUGUGCGCGCAGUGGGCUGUGCCUCCUCCAUGUCUGUGCAAUGUGAGGGGAGGAUGCUCCCAGGCAACCUGAGCUUCCAACAGUCCCGCACAAAGCAGCCGGUGGCUUCAACGCUGCCGCUCGGAUGUCUUUUGCGAGGAGCGCGGUCGUGCAGCAUCCUCUUCUUCAUCCUCUUCAUCCCACGGAGCCUGACACGCAUGACAAGUAAAGCAGCUCUUUGAUGCCAGCACAGGAAUGUGCCCAAGUGUGCAGGUCGUCAAACCACAUUUCGGAGAUUUACGUCCUCUUUUUUCCUAAAAACAUUCAUCCAGCACAUUUUUGUGUGUGUUUUAUUUGCAUUUUGUUGCACGGAGGAGGUUGUUUUUCUUUGCUUUUUUUUUUUUUUUUUUCCAAGGCAAACUUGUGUGCAUGGCUCUGGUCAUGGAGCCCGUCAGCAAGUGGAGCUCCGGCCAAGUGGUGGACUGGAUGAAAGGACUGGACGACUGCCUGCAGCAGUACAUCAAGACAUUCGAGAGGGAGAACGUUGGGGGGGACCAGCUGCUGCGAAUCACCCACCAGGAGCUGGAGGAUUUGGGAGUGUCCAGGAUCGGCCAUCAAGAGCUGAUAUUGGAGGCGGUGGACUUGCUUUGUGCUCUGAAUUACGGACUGGAAACAGAAAAUCUGAAGACUCUUUCUCAUAAACUGAACGCGUCAGCCAAGAACCUGCAGAACUUCAUCACAGGCAGGCGACGCAGCGGCCAUUACGACGGCCGUGCCACUCGCAAACUACCCAACGACUUCCUUACCUCUGUGGUGGACCUCAUUGCUGCUGCCAAAAGCCUUCUGGCGUGGCUGGACAGGUGUUCUUUCUUCACCAGGUCCCCAUUUGCUUCUGUGGCAGAUUACAGUGUGACCAGAAACAACGUGAUCCAGCUGUGUCUUGAACUCACCACUAUUGUACAGCAGGAUUGCUCUGUAUUUGAAACGGAGAACAAGAUCCUGCAUGUGUGUAAAACUCUAUCUGAUGUGUGCGACCACAUUAUCUCUCUGUCCUCGGACCCUAUGGUGUCGCAGGCUGCACAUCUGGAGGUGGUACAGCUGGCCAACAUCAAAUCCACUGAGGGACUGGGCAUGUAUAUCAAGUCAACAUACGAUGGAUUGCAUGUCAUCACAGGCACAACAGAGGGAUCUCCAGCUGACCGCUGUAAGAAAAUCCAUGCUGGAGAUGAAGUCAUUCAGGUCAAUCAUCAGACAGUGGUGGGCUGGCAGCUGAAGAACUUGGUAAACUUACUGCGUGGAGACCCAGCGGGUGUCACCCUGACGCUGAAGAAACGCCCACAGAGUACGCUCACCUCCACUCCGGCUCUGCUCAAGAACAUGCGGUGGAAACCUUUGGCUUUGCAACCACUGUUCCCUCAGAGCCCCAGCAGCAGCGUGGCAACACCAACCAGCACUUUAAGCACCCCAUCCAGGAGGGGAAGCUGCGCCCUCCAGGACCUUUACAUCCCCCCUCCUCCUGCAGAACCCUACACCCCCAGAGAUGACAAAGGGAGUCUGAAGGGCGAUGAAUCUCAGUCCGACCACAUCCACGCCGCCAAGCGCUCCGAGUCGCCCAACUCCUACCUGGACCAGGAGUGUCGGCGUCAAUUCCCUCUGGUGGAGGAUGAUUCCAUACUGUAUUGUUACGAGUACGACCAGAAUCAGGAGGUGCCGUCUGUCCGCAGGGGGAGCACGCCCACCUACAACAGGCUGCGGCCCAUCUCCAUGCCGCUGGAAUACAACUGGGCCGGAGAAGAGGAGGAGGAUGUGGCCAAGCUGAAGAGAGCAAGCAGGAGAGGAGCAGAAAAUUCACAGCUGCGUUUCACAAGUGAAGACAAAGGCCCAGGUGGAGAAUUUUUGCUAGGCCGCAGCCUGAGUCACAAUAGAAGGAAGAUGGAGAGGGGAAGCAGCCCCACACAUUACACACUCAUCCCAGCCCUCCAGAUGGAAGUCUCCCUGUCCACAUCCAGCUCUGACUCUGCCUCGCUCUACCAUGUAUUUGAGCGAUCCUCGCUGCUGUCGAGGUCAAAGAAGAGUAAAGGCGGAAGCCCCAUGGCUUCCAUCAGCAAGCGACGGAUUUCCUGCAGAGACUUGGGUCAAGGCGACUGCGAAGGCUGGCUGUGGAAGAAGAAGGAUGCUAAAACAUAUUUUUCUCAGAAAUGGAAGAAGUAUUGGUUCAUCCUGAAAGAUACGUGUCUGUACUGGUACAUGAACGAAGAGGAUGAGAAGGCAGAAGGCUUUGUCAAUCUUCCCGAGUUUAAGAUUGAUCGUGCCACUGAAUGCAGGAGAAAGUUUGCGUUCAAGGCUUGCCACCCCAAGAUAAAGACUUUCUACUUUGCAGCGGAAAAUGUAGACGACAUGUCUCGGUGGUUGAGUCGCCUAAGCAUGGCCGUGGCAGGAUACUCGGAGCAGGACAAAAUGCGGGACCAAGGUGGGUAUACAGAUUAUUGGAGUGAGAGUGACCAUGAGGACAUGGACAUGUCCUCCAUGAGCAAACAGGACAGUCCACCACCACCUUAUGACACGUAUCCCAGGGCUUCAUCAGUGAGCCCCUUCCUGGAACCUAAACGUGGCCAUUUCUCCUCAUCGGACACCUUCCAGUCUCGUUCCUCUCAUGAGGAUUACCAUUCGGAGCCUCAGGAAGGCGGCAGCAGCAACAAUGGCGGCAUCUCCCCUGGGCAAAAGGCGAGCAAUCACCGCAACUCCUGGCAAGACCAGAUGGAGAGCAACACCAGAAUGCACUUCCUCCAGACGUAUCCUGUGGAGGACCCUCUGCUAUCGGGGGACAGGGACCAACUGGCCAUGGAGUACCGCAGGCAGUCCACGCUGCCUGCACAGCGCAGCCUGCUGCAGGAACAGUACCGAGCCUUGCCCCUGCCCAUCAGGUCCAGUGUGGAUUCAGAGGCGGGAGGGAAGCCUCGCAGCUUCACGCUACCCCGAGACAGCGGCCUUCACGCCAUCCUGGCCGCCAGUGUGUCAGAUGACAGAACACCUCGACACUACCAGCUGGAGCGGCCCAGAGAAAUAGGCAGCAGAGCUCUGGGGCACUCUUCUGUGGCACGGACGAGACUUGAGGCUACAGUCGGACUCUGUGGGGGAUUUGUACCGAGCUCUGGAGCAGACCAGUCUGUCCACUUCAGCUGACCACAGAUCCUCCAGCCGCCUGGAGUACAAGCGUUCGUUUGUUCGCCGGGUUAACGACCCCCUGCUCAACGACAAGCUUCACCGCCUUCGCAUCCUCCACAAUUCUCUCAACAAUGUCCCUCUUCAAGACACAAACCGCUCCAUGGGAUUUUUAGGCUAACGUGCGAAGCCUCAGCUGCCGUCUCAUCGCUGCAGGUGAAAAGGCGCCAGAUUUGUUCUUCUUCCCUUUUCUUUCAUGGUACCUCUCUCACAUCUUUUCUGUGUUUUUGAGGAGGAGAACUUUUCCAAAAGGCCAAGCCCUAGUUUGAAGUGGUUGGAAAAAAAAGCACUUUGUGUCCCUGUCAUGGACUUGAUGGAGAGUUUCACAUGCAUGGUUGUUUCCCUUCACUUUUUGCUGGCGCUCUGUGCAGCUGAUCAUACAGAGGAAUUACUAUUUUGGGUGUACACGCCAUUUUUGUUAUGUGUAUGAUUAAUAACAAUCUAUAUUAUGACAUUACUACACAACGUCUUGAGGAUAUUUGCUGGGAUACAAAUUGUUAACAAGUGCUGUGCCUCAGUGAUUGUGAAUGUACAUUGUACUUUUUUCAACAACAAGAGGAGAACACCACGUUGUCCCUUCACGCGGUGGGGGGAUUUAACAUUUGGCAAUAAGGAAAUCGCAUUGUAAAAUACAAAAAUAAUUGUCAAAAUAGUUGUCUAUUUUUGUAUGCAUGCAGUCUUUCUAAUGGUGACAAAAACAUUGUUGUUUUUUUUAUUUCUAGGUGCAGUAAAUUCAGAGUUUUGCUGGUCUCACCAGCCUCAGCCACAAUAUUUAUUUAAAAAAAGAAGAAGCUAAUUUCACUACAAAAAGAGGACUAACUGUAUUUAUUAUUAAGUGUUCAAUGUACAUGCAUGUUUCGUAAUACUAAAACACAUUACCAUGCUGUUUAACUGCACUCGUGUGCCAUAUUGCCAUAUUGUAGCUGCAAUACUUUUAUUUAAAAAUGGAAAUAAAGUAUGGCGUGGGCGCA